rnacentral:rRNA from 1 species
UACGGAGGGUGCAAGCGUUAUCCGGAUUCACUGGGUUUAAAGGGUGCGUAGGUGGAUCGGUAAGUCCGUGGUGAAAUCCCCGAGCUUAACUCGGGAACUGCCGUGGAUACUAUCGAUCUUGAAUACUGUGGAGGUAAGCGGAAUAUGUCAUGUAGCGGUGAAAUGCUUAGAUAUGACAUAGAACACCGAUAGCGAAGGCAGCUUGCUACGCAGUUAUUGACACUGAGGCACGAAAGCGUGGGGAGCAAACAGG